rnacentral:rRNA from 3 species
GGACUACCCGGGUUUCUAAUCCCGUUCGCUCCCCUGGCUUUCGCGCCUCAGCGUCAGAAAGGGUCCAGCAUCUCGCCUUCGCCACCGGAGUUCCAGCCGAUAUCAACGCAUUUCACCGCUCCACCGGCUGUUCCAGAUGCCCCUACCCUCCUCGAGACCGGAAGUAUCCACGGCAGUUCCCCAGUUAAGCUGAGGUAUUUCACCGCAGACUAUCCGACCCGCCUACGCGCCCUUUAAGCCCAGUGAUUCCGAAUAACGUUUGCACGGUUCGUCUUACCGCGGCUGCUGGCAC